UACGGAGGGGGCGAGCGUUAUUCGGAAUUAUUGGGCGUAAAGGGUGCGUAGGCGGCUGUACAAGUCAAAGGUGAAAUCCCUCGGCUCAACUGAGGAACUGCCUUUGAAACUGUACGGCUUGAGGCCGGGAGGGGGUAGCGGAAUUCCCAGUGUAGCGGUGAAAUGCGUAGAUACUGGGAGGAACACCAGUGGCGAAGGCGGCUACCUGGACCGGUUCUGACGCUGAUGCGCGAAAGCGUGGGUAGCAAACAGG
rnacentral:rRNA from 1 species